CACGUAUUUAGCCGGGGCUUCCUCCUAUGAUACCGUCAUUAUCUUCUCAUAGGACAGAGCUUUACGAUUCGAAAACCUUCUUCGCUCACGCGGCGUCGCUGCAUCAGGGUUCCCCCAUUGUGCAAUAUUCCCCACUGCUGCCUCCCGUAGGAGUUUGGACCGUGUCUCAGUUCCAAUGUGGCCGUUCAUCCUCUCAGACCGGCUACUGAUCGUCGCCUUGGUAGGCCUUUACCUUCCAACUAGCUAAUCAGACGCGAGCCCUUCUUACACCGAUAAAUCUUUGACCCCUAUAUCAUGCGAUUCUGUGGUCUCAUGCGGUAUUAAUCGUCGUUUCCAACGGCUAUCCCCCUGUGUAAGGUAGGUUGCUCACGUGUUACUCACCCGUUCGCCACUUUCAUUUCAUUUCCAUUCCCGAAAGAAUUUCCACAAAAUCACGUUCGACUUGCAUGUGUUAAGCACGCCGCCAGCGUCGUCCUGUAGCCACGGAGUCAAACUACU
rnacentral:rRNA from 1 species